GGGUGCCCUUCUAGUCCGGGGAGGAGGACCCACCCCGGAUGGCAGAGAUGACACUGUUCUGCCAAGUACCUCCUCGGGGCCAUCCGACUCCAAGGGUGGGUCAUUCCAUGUUACAGAAACUCUGCAACUUUCCCUUAUGAACCACCAGGCCCAGGUUUGCGGCUCUUGACUUAAAGUCAGCAUAAUGUUGGAGGACCAAAUCUAGGGGGGGGGUGGACUGGCCUUGACCCAUAUUAGGUCCAGAGGUUAAGGAGAGGAUGAGGAGAUAAAUCAGAGAGAGUAGGAUGAGGAGGAGGGUGAUACCAGAGAGUUCAAAGAAUCCCGAUGUUGGCAACUGCCUGUCAGAGGCCAGUCACCCAGUCCCUGCCUUGUGGCCAAAAAGACCCAGCAUGUCUAUAAGGGUCACCUAGGGCUAUAAGAGUCACCUAGAGAUCAUGGGGCUUCCCCUGGUCUCUCUUAGGGGUGCAAUAUCUUCCCCAGUGGGACUCGAACCCCCUGCCCUUCAAUUUAGUUGAGAAUAAUCCCAACCUGAUGGAGACCUGAGCUCCACCUUGGGGGACUCAAACCCCUGAAAGUUCCAAGGUCGGUACGUACUCUGACCCAUAAUCCUUCACCACCCCUCAAACAGAUCUUAAGCUCUUCCCCUGGUUCCUGACUGGCUCCCUCAUGGGUGAUAAAACUACGGUACUGCAGGGUCCACUCUCAGAAACAUGUAGGAGGUUUGGACAGAUGCUGCGGGGCGAACCCCUCACCCCAGAACACGCUGGGCCUCGGAACUUAGCAUAGGAUGUCCCCAUAUGACCCACGGGCCAUGGAAUCUCCCAUACACUAAGCCAUAUGUUUGGCGAGAGUCCUCUUCCCCAUACACACUUUCGAUCACCACACACACACUCUACUUGGCUCACCUGAAGGUCCGGUCCAAGGCAGUGCCCUCAGCCCUUCUGUCAAGGGGUUCCAAGGUGGGGAUGAGGAUCCCGGGAUGAACCCCCAAAUGUUAAGGUCUGAGUCUCCGCCCACCACCAAGGAAAACCAGUAGGCAAUGCAAUCAAGCAAAAGGAUUGUUUAUUGAUCUGGUGCACACCAGGGGAGCUCAGCACAAGAGCUCCGCCUGUAGCUUGUAAGUGCAGAGGUUUUUAUACCCAUCACCCGCCAGCAUGUCACCCACCAGCAUACAUGGCCCACAAGUUCCUCCUAGAAUCUAUGGCUUGGGUGUUGACACAUUUAUGUUUUCUGCCGGGGGUCUGUUUGCUAGAUGUUUCACAGCAGUAUGUGUUGCAAUGACUGAGAAGUUCCUUGCUUGGGCCUCUCUCAGUGUGAACAGUGGAACCUUGGUUCUUUUCCACAACAUUUAUGGAACUUGGUGUAGUGAGCAAUGCUUUGUAUGUUCCAACCCAUUUUAUGUUUGUAGUUGUUUUUUUACUAAAGUUUUUGAUGUACACUUUAUAUUCUGGUUUGAUGUUAUGUAGAUUGUAACAAUUUUAAAACUAGUUGUGCCUUUAAGUUACAAAAUCGGCUGGGAUGAAGGAAGGGCAAACUGAGGCUGCUCUGUGUUCCCAUGCAGGUUUGAAACCCCACGAGGGUGGGAGGAGGGGUUGGCCACAGCCAGAAAUAGGGGUGGUAAUAAUGGGCACUCAGUUAGGGGGACCAGGAAAAUAGCUGACUGUGAGAGCAGCUGUUCUAGGGGGUGGGGGAUUUACACUUUACCCUCUGUGCCCUGGAGAGGCUGGUGUAGGCAGGAGCAGCAUGUUGCAAGAGAUUACAGGAUUGCUAGGCUGGGGCUGUUGGGUGGGGAAGGCAACACUCAGCCAAGGGGAAACACAGGGAGAGAGAGUGAGGAAGAGAGAGACAGUAGUAAACCAGAUCCCUCUCAGCUACAAAGGGUAGGGUGGAAGAGAAGUGAAGGUGGGCUAGAGCAAAUGAGGAGUAGGUUGCUGGGAGGUGUAAAAAUAAAAUGGACAGAUUCCUUUAAGAGAGACAUGGAACUGGGGAUCUGGGUUUAGUUUUACCAGAUCUACAGGGUGUCCUGUCCCGCUAUGAAACAGAGGCUAAAAGAUGGUUGUUUCUCAUUUCAAAGCCAGUAAUUUUGGUUGUAAUGAUAUAGCAACCAUGUGAGGAAGGAAUAAAUGUCUCAAGGAUAGAAUGUUCGGUCCGGUUCUGGUUCGGAUUCCAAGGAGGAGACACACAUGGUAAUGCAAUACACAGAAGGUAGUUUAUUCAAGCUAUAGUUUGGGCCUCCACAAGAAGCGGAAGAUCACCAGCAUUACAUAGGUCUGGUUUAUAUAGAGGGGCUACGAGUGGGGGGUCAUCUUGAGAACCAGGCGCCAAAAGAGAAGACAUCAAUCUUAGUCCCUGAUACCCAGAUAUUUCCUUUUAACAUAUGGUCAGCCAGUGACCCAGGUCAGUGAAACCUGAAGUCUUGAGAUAACAUAUCCUUAUGGCAGUACAUAAAUAAGGACAUGGUAGUUUUAGUUCUUGGGACAAGGGGCCCCAUUAGUGUAUUAUCUGGAGGGCAAUUUCCCAUGAUAACAGUAUGUUUCUUAAUUCUCCACUUCUUUUAGAACAAUGAGGAAUCCUACUCAUGGGAACAUGUCCUCAUAGGGACAUGGAUGUCGUUUAGGGGCAAGUAUUGCUGCCUUAGGACCAUGAGUUGGACUGUGUUAAUGCGCUUCUUUACAAAGUGCACAAGUCUAUUAAUGAUACAAGGACCAAAGGUCAGCAAAAUUAUGAGAAUGAAAAGGGGACUUAAUAAAGUGGAAAUAAGGGUCGUGAGCCAAGGGGAUUGGUAGAAAAUAUGCUCAAACCAUCCUUCUUGGGAUUCUUGCUCUCAUUGUUGGGUAGCGAGGCCUUCUCUGAGUUUGGUCAUGAUUUCUUGCACGACCCUAGUGUGAUCAGAAUAAAAGCAACAUUCUUCCCACGGGCCACACAGAAGCCUCCUUGUUGGAGGAAAAGGAGAGAUCUAAGCCCCUACGGUUCUGGAGGGUUAUCUCAGAUAGGGAAGUGAGGGAUCUCUCUAAAUGGAUAAUAGAACUUUAUAUUCUGGCUAGAUCCUCAUCUACUGUGGCCCGCAAAGCCGACGGAGUUUGAGGCUCCUACCCCCGCUAGGCUGAAGAUGGUCACAAGGGUGAUAAUCAUGAUUGGUUCUCAUCUAAUCUUGGUGAUUACCAGGAAGCGGGCUUCCCAGUAGUGGUAAAAGUCCUCUUCAGAGUGGAAGAGGAUGCAGGGCAGGAUCACAACGAGACACAUUUCACCAGUAGAAGACAGAGUGACCUGGGCUACACAGGGUGUUAGUCUAGUAGUGGAGCAUAGCCACCUAGCUCCCUGGGGAGGAAUAUAGAAUUUAUCUGUACUUGUGGAAUUUCUGUCACAUAGCUGGGCUAGAGGUUUAGAGGCGUUCCCUAUACAGUAGCCAAUCCCCGAGACGGACUAUAAGGUAAGGCCAGUCUUUCUGUCAUCCCAGUCACACUCGGGGGGUGGGGGUGGGGUUCCUUGUUGGAGGUUUUAUAGGAAGCAUUUAAUGCUAUAGCUUCGUAGUAUGGGGGUCAGGCAUCAAGGAAGAGCCAGCAGCUCUCUGUGAGGUUAGGGAAGGUUUGGUUCAAUGAGAGGUAUGAAGCUCAUAACAUGAGCCAUAAGGGGUCAUUCUGGGCCCAUAACCCAGAGGUCGAUGGAUGUGGAUCAGGUCCAGGACUCCCAAUUGCAGGAGAAAUAGAGUUAAGGCCGGAGAGCAUUGUGGGAGUGGGUAGAAGGGUGUUCAGAAGAUUUUAGGGAGGGCUUGGGGGAUCUGGGCCUUUUAGGACAACAGAAAUACAGGUCAGAUUCAUCCUUGCAUAGGCUAUGGGAAGCGGGGGAUGUAGCCCUGUGCCAGUGGGAGUAAUGGACCCCCCCCUGGUUUCCAUGUUCUGAAAGAGUUGGCAGGUAGUGAUGUUGAAACUGGGGGAAGUGGAAGUUACUUGUGAGUCUACUAUCCUUUGGUCUUACCAUUGUUGCAAAGUCCAUCUCCAGGGUUGAUAAGGGUUAGUAGACUCUUGUACUGAGUUAUGGGAUUGGCGGAGCAGGAAGUACAGGAUCAGCAGGAGCGGCAUCUCCGGGUCACUUGGAGCUUGAGUAUGGAUUAGAUGGGUGCUUAUGGACAGAACAGGAGUCAGUGCAAGUCAGCAGGUGUUGCCUUUCGGAUAUGGGAGUGGUGUAUCCAAGGUCCAAUCCCAUCCACUUUGAGUGUUGAGGGGGUAACAAAGAGGGUUACAAAGGGACUCUUCCAAUGGGGCUGUAAGGAGACUUUGUGAUGUCACUUAAACCAUACCCAAUCUCCAGGUUUGUAAGGGUGGGGUCAUAAGGGGCUGGUUGAAAGAGGUCAAUGGCUUGAGGCCAAAUGUCCUUCUGAAAUUGUGCUAGACUCAACAACAUAGGUUCAGGGGAGCUGUGACCACCCCUUAUGUAAUUGUACUCACGAAGGCCAGACCAUUGUCGGAAGCAAUGGUCUCCGGUAACCCAUACCGAGGGAUGAUUUCUUCAAGAAGCUUCUUUGCAACUAUUAACAGCUUCGGUCUUAGUCAGAAACGUCUCUGGCCGUACUGAAAAGAUGUCAACUAGAACAGGGAGAUAUUUAAGCCCAAACUUUCUUGGUUUUAUUUCAGUACAGUCAAUUUCCCACUGUUGGCAAGGCCUUUGUCCCCUUAUUCUCUGUCCAAUAUGUUUGUCAGGUUUAGCUGCAUGGAGGAGUUGGCAUGCUGUGCAAGAAUCGACCAGCUGGUGAAGAAAUUGGCCUCUAUAUAUACUUGAGUUUGCCUUUGUCCAAGAGUUGUGCAAGUUUUCAGUCUCCUAGGUGGAAGAGAUGGUGCAAAUGGAUAGUAAGGAGCUGCCCUAAUGCCUCUGGAAGGAGCAUAUUCCCUUCAGGGUCACAGUACCACACACACACCCCCUCCGCUUGUCCUAGGCAGCUCUUGAUUCAAGCUUCCAAAGAGUUUCCCUUCUGAUGCCUGGGAAUAUGUACCACAGCCACUGCUUUUGGUUCCCAGACCACCAAUUGGAGAUCCUGAAUUUCAGGAAGAUUACAGACUGGGGCUCCAUCAGAGGUAACAAACCCCCUUUCCCAAUAUAUUGGGGCAUGCACAUGUAGGGUGGUAAAGGCUUACCUGCUGUCCAUAUAUACUGUGGUUCUUAUCCCUUCUGCUUUCCUAAGGGCUUCUGUUAGGGCAACCAACUCAGCUUUUUGGGCUGAGGUUCCUUCAGGUAAGGCUGCUGGCCACACAGUUUCGCCUGCUGAAUUCACAAUGGCUGUCUGAGCCAAUUGGUGCACAUUUUCAAGAAAACUGCUGCCAUUCGUGAAUAGGAUUAGGUCACUGUUUGGUAGGGGUUCAUCUUGUAACCCAGGUCAAGCGGUGAUUGCAUCCGCUAAAAUCUCUCCACAAUCAUGUAUUGGGGCCGGAUUGGGAGGAGGCAGAUUGGGCAGUAGGGUAGCUGGGUUGAGUGAAGAGACGACCUUGAACAAGAUGUGUGAAGUAUCUAAUAACAGUGAUUGGUAAUGUGCCGAUCUGGUGUGUGAAAACCAGCGACUUGGCGGCUGUUUCAAUACCCCCUCAAUGGCAUGGAUUGUAGAGAGAAUUAAAGAUUGUCCACAA